rnacentral:lncRNA from 1 species
AUCAUGGCGCUAUACCUUUAGGUAGUGGCAUGUAAGUCAUGUCGCUAUGCCUUUACCUUUCUGACACGUUGUCAAAUAGUGAAAUGGAAAGUAUGUUGCAACCACCAACAUUUACUUUAUUUGUGACAUGAUUUCACAAUGUGAUGGCUCUAUUUAUUAUCUAGCUUGCAUCACCCACACACGUUACCAAAUCAAAAGCUACAAAACCCAUUUUUCGUCAUCCCUAAUAUUGUCUUUCUCCCUCCGCACC